rnacentral:rRNA from 1 species
GAUGAACGCUGGCGGCGUGCCUAACACAUGCAAGUCGAGCGAAGCACCUUACUUGAUUUCUUCGGGAUGAAAGUAUUGUGACUGAGCGGGCGACGGGUGAAGGUACACGUGGGAACCGUGCCCUAAGUCUGGGAUACCAUUUGGAAACUGGUGCUAAUACCGGAUAAUAAAGCAGAUCGCAUGAUCAGCUUUUGAAAGGCGGCGUAAGCUGUCGCUAAGGGAUGGCCCCGCGGUGCAUUAGCUAGUUGGUAAGGUAACGGCUUACCAAGGCGACGAUGCAUAGCCGAGUUGAGAGACUGAUCGGCCACAUUGGGACUGAGACACGGCCCAA